AGAGUUUGAUCCUGGCUCAGGAUGAACGCUAGCGGCAGGCUUAACACAUGCAAGUCGAGGGGUAACAGGAUAGCUUGCUAUUGCUGACGACCGGCGCACGGGUGCGUAACGCGUAUAGAACCUACCUUUCACUAAGGGAUAGCCCAGAGAAAUUUGGAUUAAUACCUUAUGGUAUUAUUGAAUGGCAUCAUUUGAUAAUUAAAGAUUUAUUGGUGAAAGAUGGCUAUGCGUUCUAUUAGUUAGUUGGUGGGGUAACGGCCUACCAAGACAUCGAUAGAUAGGGGUCCUGAGAGGGAGAUCCCCCACACUGGUACUGAGACACGGACCAGACUCCUACGGGAGGCAGCAGUGAGGAAUAUUGGACAAUGGAGGCAACUCUGAUCCAGCCAUGCCGCGUGUAGGAAGACUGCCCUAUGGGUUGUAAACUACUUUUGUAUAGGAAGAAUUGGCAUUACGUGUAAUGUUUUGACGGUACUAUAAGAAUAAGGAUCGGCUAACUCCGUGCCAGCAGCCGCGGUAAUACGGAGGAUCCAAGCGUUAUCCGGAAUCAUUGGGUUUAAAGGGUCCGUAGGCGGGCUUAUAAGUCAGUGGUGAAAGUUUGCGGCUUAACCGUAAAAUUGCCAUUGAUACUGUAGGUCUUGAAUCAUUGUGAAGUGGUUAGAAUAAGUAGUGUAGCGGUGAAAUGCAUAGAUAUUACUUAGAAUACCGAUUGCGAAGGCAGAUCACUAACAAUGUAUUGACGCUGAUGGACGAAAGCGUGGGUAGCGAACAGGAUUAGAUACCCUGGUAGUCCACGCCGUAAACGAUGGUUACUAGUUGUUCGAACUUCGGUUUGAGUGACUAAGCGAAAGUGAUAAGUAACCCACCUGGGGAGUACGUUCGCAAGAAUGAAACUCAAAGGAAUUGACGGGGGCCCGCACAAGCGGUGGAGCAUGUGGUUUAAUUCGAUGAUACGCGAGGAACCUUACCAGGGCUUAAAUGUAGAGUGACAGGACUAGAGAUAGUUUUUUCUUCGGACACUUUACAAGGUGCUGCAUGGUUGUCGUCAGCUCGUGCCGUGAGGUGUCAGGUUAAGUCCUAUAACGAGCGCAACCCCUGUUGUUAGUUGCCAGCGAGUAAUGUCGGGAACCCUAGCAAGACUGCCAGUGCAAACUGUGAGGAAGGUGGGGAUGACGUCAAAUCAUCACGGCCCUUACGUCCUGGGCCACACACGUGCUACAAUGGUAGGGACAGAGAGCGGCCACUAUGUGAAUAGGAGCGAAUCUAUAAACCCUAUCUCAGUUCGGAUCGGAGUCUGCAACUCGACUCCGUGAAGCUGGAAUCGCUAGUAAUCGGAUAUCAGCCAUGAUCCGGUGAAUACGUUCCCGGGCCUUGUACACACCGCCCGUCAAGCCAUGGAAGCUGGGGGUACCUGAAGUCCGUCACCGUAAGGAGCGGCCUAGGGUAAAACUGGUAACUGGGGCUAAGUCGUAACAAGGUAGCCGUACCGGAAGGUGCGGCUGGAUCACCUCCUU
rnacentral:rRNA from 1 species